AAACAAAAAAUUCCUACCCGAGAAGACUCAUGACUCUGGAACACAGUGAGUGCAGCUGUUAUGCAAUCAGAAGAAAGGACCCCUGCUAACACUGGAUCUCUGGCUUCUGGGAUCCAAAACGACUCAGUGGUCAGCGGAAACUUGAUGAUAGCAUAGUGGUCAAGCUUGUUUCUCCUGGGAGCGCUCUUCCGAGGAUAUUUGGGCUGUCUCCGGAGUCGCAGUGUCUUCGGCCGCCGGAAGGUGGGUGACGUGCGGAUCUUCUUCUUUUUGUGGCUGUGGACACCUUUCAACACUGCCUUCUUGGCCUUUAAAGCCUUCGCUUUGGCUUCAGCUUUAGGAGGGGCAGGAGCUUCCUUCUUCGCUUUCGGCGCCAUGUUGUGAAAAGGGUCCAUAUGCUGUGUUUUAAGGUAGAUUUUUAUUUAAAUG
rnacentral:lncRNA from 1 species